AGGGUGUACUAAUUUGCUUCAAUACAGCACUCAUUUUACAUGUGUAUGGAUAUCAAAACUUUAUAUUGUACAACUUAAGUAUAUAUAAGUUUUUUUACUAUAAAGUCUAGCUUUAUUUUUAAAAAGAUUUUACAAGUCUGUCAACCUUAAACAUACAUCGAUGGAUUAUUUAUUCUUCUCUUCCAUCAGAUUAGGCUCACUGCUUCAAUCCAAUUCAUAAAAAAUAUAUGUAAAAAUAAAUCUUUUUCACAAGUAUGUAUCCCCUAUAUUUCUCAUCUUAGUUCUGAAAUUUUCUCUGUAUAAAUACUUUAACUCAGGUGUUAGUAAUAGUACUGUUGUACAGCUGCACAUGGCUAUCAUUUUACACGUUUGUUUUACUUUUCUAGUUUCCUGGUUCAGCUCCAAAGUCCAAAUCUUAUACAAGGCAAAAUCAAUGUUAAUUGGGCUGCCAAAAAAGCCCACUGAAUGCAUCCUGUACUGCUCUGUGACACGCAAGAGAAAAAGUAUAGCCUCCAGCAAGGUCCUGUGGUGAAGCAGCUCUGACAUGGUUUAAAUAUCCAAGUCUUCCUAACAACUGGAGCUCAGGAGCUGGAGGUCCACAUGACUCUAUCUGCAAUGGUUGGUAUUCAUACAGAGCUUCUUCAAGCUUCUGAAGAGGUGCCAAUGAAAUUUGUUGACCCAUUUUGAUGCCUGUGGAAAAUGUCACUGGCUUUACAGGUUUGGGUUUGUCAAGCUGCAUUUCCAACUGGGUAGAUCUAUCUUUAUGCUGAGCCAAAAGCAGAGCAACAGGGAGAUCAGAACUCUCCAGUUCGUCUAAAAAAGCCUGCUUAUUCUUCUGUUUUUGAAUCUGCUGCACUUGUUCCUCUUUUUGUAUAAAUAGUCUUCUUUGUUCAUUUUCCUUUCACUCUGCCUCUAAAGCUUCUUCCAAUUCUUCCUAUUCCCGAGUCAGCUUUAACUUAUUUUUCUGAAUGACGUCUUUGUUUUCCUUCUGGUACAUCUCCAUUUUCUUUUUGGUGUUUUCCAAAUCCACAUUGUUGGGCAAGUUGAACACAAUUUCCUCCACUUCUUCUAGGAAAUCAUUAUAUUCUCUUAGACUAGAAAAGUCUCCUUCCCUUUUAUUGUAUAUCUUUAACACUUUUUUCCAAAUCUCCACUUCUUUGUCAACAGUGGGAUCCUCAAAGAGCUGUACCCUGAAGUUGCUCUAAGUGGAGUGCCACAUUCAGGACAAUUUCCGGCUCCUCUCACAAACAGUAAAUCCACACAACUUUCACAUCUUCCCCACAGCCCGGCCGGCUGCCCCCCUCCCCCUCCCUCCGCGGCCCCCAGAAGUUUCGUCUCCUGCGAGGGCCCUAAAUAUAUAAAAUUUUUAUUAAAAUAGCAGAAAAUAAAAAGAUCUUUAGACAGGAAAGAAA
rnacentral:lncRNA from 1 species